rnacentral:rRNA from 1 species
GACGAACGCUGGCGGCGUGCCUAACACAUGCAAGUCGAACGGACACCAUGAGGUAGCAAUACCUCGGAAGUGUUAGUGGCGAACGGGUGAGUAACACGUGAAGAACCCAUCCCGGACUUCGGAAUAACCUUGGGAAACCAGGGCUAAUACCGGAUGCCUUCCUCGGGGGACAUCCCCUGGGGAAGAAAGAUUUACGGUCCGGGCCGGCUUCGCGGCCUAUCAGCUUGUUGGCGGGGUAACGGCCCACCAAGGCUUCGACGGGUAGCUGGUCUGAGAGGAUGAUGAGCCACACUGGGACUGAGACACGGCCCAGACUCCUACGGGAGGCAGCAGUGGGGAAUUUUGCUCAAUGGGCGAAAGCCUGGAGCAGCAACGCCGCGUGCGGGAUGAAGGCCCUCGGGUCGUAAACCGCUUUCAGUGGGAACGAAAAUGACGGUACCCACAGAAGAAGGUCCGGCUAACUACGUGCCAGCCGCCGCGGUAAAAC